rnacentral:rRNA from 1 species
AUAAAUAAGCGGUGGAAAAGAAACCAACAGGGAUUCCCUUAGUAGCGGCGAGCGAACAGGGACGAGCCCAGCGCCGAAUUCCGCGUCCGCAAGGGCGUUUGGAACAUGUGGCGUUUAGGAGGAAUCUCUCCGAGGGCAGACGGUGUCGCAAGUCCCCCUGAACGGGGCUGUGAUCCAGAGCGGGUGCGAGGCCCAUAGCUGGUACCGUCUCCUUCGGGUGUCGCCUCCUUGGAGUCGGGUUGCUUGGGAGUGCAGCCCUAAUUGGGUGGUAAACUCCACCUAAGGCUAAAUACGUCCGUGAGACCGAUAGCAAACAAGUACCGUGAGGGAAAGUUGCAAAGAACUUUGAAGAGAGAGUUCAAGAGUACGUGAAACCGCUCAGAGGCAAACGGGUGGGCCCACGAAAGCCGAAGGCGGGGGGAUUCAGUCGAGAGGACGGCGGGGCAAGACUGGCUGGUCGGACGGACCGUGCCAGGCCGGGUCAGUUCCCGAGAUCCGCCGCCUUUCGACGCAUUUCCCUCUGCUUAGUAGGACGCCGCAACCGGUUGGUGCUGCAGCCAUAAGGAAGAGUAUCGGAAGGUAGCCAGUGAGUUCUUCUUCGGAGGCGCGAGCUGGUCCUAAGCCCACUCUCCUGGUGCUUGUGGCCCGACCGUGGUCGUGAGUCCCUCAAUGGGAUGUCGCCGAGCCCUCCGAGGCGAGCGGGAGAAGUGGCAGGCUGCUUUCCGUGACGAAAAAUCGGUCGCUCCACGCGUGCAGUGGACGGCCUUCGGAGGCAGCUGCUGGUGCGCUUCUCUCCCGCGCUGGGCACAGGCAGUUGGCGGCGAGUAGGUCGGUCACCCACCCGACCCGUCUUGAAACACGGACCAAGGAGUCUAACAUGUGCGCGAGUCAUUGGGUCUUGAACAAGCCCAAAGGCGCAAUGAAAGUGAAGACCAGCGCUGAAGCUGGUGGAGUUGGGAAACUGCGUCCCUGAAGGCGUGGUUGCACCAACGGCCCGUCCCGUCCGCAUCGUCGGUGGGGCGGAGCGAGAGCGUACACGUUGGGACCCGAAAGAUGGUGAACUAUGCCUGGGCAGGACGAAGCCAGAGGAAACUCUGGUGGAGGUCCGCAGCGGUUCUGACGUGCAAAUCGAUCGUCAGACCCGGGUAUAGGGGCGAAAGACUAAUCGAACCAUCUANNNNNNNNNNNUGGCGCUGUGGGAUGAACCAAACGCCGGGUUACGGCGCCCGAUGCGAGACGCUCAUGAGACCCCAUGAAAGGUGUUGGUUGCUAUUGACAGCAGGACGGUGGCCAUGGAAGUCGGAAUCCGCUAAGGAGUGUGUAACAACUCACCUGCCGAAGCAACUAGCCCUGAAAAUGGAUGGCGCUCCAGCGUCGAGCCCAUACCCGGCCGCCGCGGCAGAUGCUCCCGAAGCUUAUGCCGCGGUGAGUAGGAGGGUCGCAGUGGCGUGCGUUGAAGGUGCCGGGCGCAAGCCCGCCUGGAGCCGCCACUGGUGCAGAUCUUGGUGGUAGUAGCUCCGAAGCGGGACGUNUAUUUGACGGCUAGUCCCGCCCACUGACCGAAAGGGAAUCGGGUUAAUAUUCCCGAACCCGGACAAGGAGAUCGGCCCCUCGGGGUCAAGUGCGGUAACGCAACUGAACUCGGAGAAGUCGACGGGAGUCCCGGAGAGAGUUUUCUUUUCUUUGUAAGGGUUUGGCUCCCUGGAAUCGGUUCGUCCGGAGAUAGGGAUGCUAUUCCCGUAAAGCAUCGCGCCUCCUGCGGUGUCCGGAGCGCUCC